rnacentral:misc_RNA from 1 species
AAAACACAAUAUUCGUCAAAAAUGGUAGUAUAUCAGAGCCUUAAUUGUAUGUCUACGGAUACUUAAUAACAUAUCUACGGGUGAUUAUAAUAUUGAAGUAGGUCAAGUAUGUGGUACGUUGUAUAAUCACUCACAAUUCAGAGGAAGCUGAUAACGAUGUUAUGAACCUGUUUGUUUCCGUGACGAGAUUUCGAAAAUCAUGCAAAAGGAUG